UACGAAGGGGGCUAGCGUUGUUCGGAAUCACUGGGCGUAAAGGGCGCGUAGGCGGCUUGAUAAGUGCGGGGGUGAAAGCCUGUGGCUCAACCACAGAAUUGCCUUCGAUACUGUCAGGCUUGAGACCGGAAGAGGUAAGUGGAACUGCGAGUGUAGAGGUGAAAUUCGUAGAUAUUCGCAAGAACACCAGUGGCGAAGGCGGCUUACUGGUCCGGUUCUGACGCUGAGGCGCGAAAAGCGUGGGGGAGCAAACAGG
rnacentral:rRNA from 1 species